rnacentral:rRNA from 1 species
AUUGAACGCUGGCGGCAUGCCUAACACAUGCAAGUCGAACGAGUGACGGGCGGGUGAGGAAUGGCUGGGAGCCCGCCCGCUGGGGGGGGAUAACUGCUGGAAACGGUAGCUAAUACCGCGCACGAUGGGAUGUGCCCAGGUGGGAUUAGCUUGUGGGUGAGGUAACGGCUCACCUAGGCGACGGUCCCUAGCUGGUGUGAGAGGAUGACCAGCCACACUGGAACUGAGACACGGCCCAGACUCCUACGGGAGGCAGCAGUGGGGAAUAUUGCACAAUGGGGGAAAGCCUGAUGCAGCCAUGCCGCGUGUAUGAAGAAGGCCUUCGGGUUGUAAAGCACUUUCGGCGGGGAAGCGUUACCCGCAGAAUAAGCACCGGCUAACUCCGUGCCAGCAGCCGCGGUAAUUC